UACGUAGGUGACCAGCGUUGUCCGGAUUUACUGGGCGUAAAGAGCGCGCAGGCGGUCGUUCAAGUCGAGUGUGAAAGCCCCCGGCUCAACUGGGGAGGGUCACUCGAUACUGAUCGACUUGAAGGCAGGAGAGGGAAGCGGAAUUCCCGGUGUAGUGGUGAAAUGCGUAGAUAUCGGGAGGAACACCAGUGGCGAAGGCGGCUUCCUGGCCUGUUCUUGACGCUGAGGCGCGAAAGCUGGGGGAGCAAACGGG
rnacentral:rRNA from 1 species